CUUUUGCUAGGGUCCGUGCUACUGACCCUGAUGUUGGUGUAAAUGGUGAAAUAAGGUACUCAUUGGAAGAUGGGAAUGUACCUUUUUCCAUUGAUGAGUCUGGAGUUAUUUUUACCACUGGUGUUUUAGACAGGGAAGUUGUAGAUAGCUACAGGUUAACUGUGAUAGCGAUCGACAAGCAUCCCUCCCAUCCACUUUCAAGCUCAACCACAUUGUCUGUGCAUGUGGAAGAUGUAAAUGAUCACUGGCCCAGAUUUCUCAAUGGUCCGUAUGUGGCCAACAUUCCUUUCACAGCGGGGCCAGGUUCAAUAGUCUGUGCUGUAAGUGCAGUGGAUGCUGACACAGGACUUAACUCACAGCUUACCUUUUCAUUAUUCGGUCAUCUCGCUGGUCACUUCUCCAUUAACCCAAGU